rnacentral:rRNA from 1 species
UACGGGGGGGGCAAGCGUUGUUCGGAAUUACUGGGCGUAAAGGGCUCGUAGGUGGCCAACUAAGUCAGACGUGAAAUCCCUCGGCUUAACCGGGGAACUGCGUCUGAUACUGGAUGGCUUGAGUUUGGGAGAGGGACGCGGAAUUCCGGGUGUAGCGGUGGAAUGCGUAGAGAUCCGGAAGAACACCGGUGGCGAAGGCGGUCUGCUGGGCAGUAGCUGACACUGAGGCGCGACAGCGUGGGGAGCAAACAGG